GGGGAGAUUCCAGAGCGGCCAAAUGGGGCAGACUGUAAAUCUGUUGACUUCGUCUUCGGAGGUUCGAAUCCUCCUCUCCCCACAA
rnacentral:tRNA from 1 species